GUUAUAUAUUAUUGGACUAACCUGUUGCAGUGCCUCAUUAGACCUAUUGGUUGAGCUUUUCCCUUGGGUGGCCGUACCCACUAGGAAUCAUGGAGUUGGUUCUCACCUCACGUUGUUUUGGGGUGUUACAGGUUCACACGUGAGUGGCGCGGCGGCGCGAGUCGAGGGUGUAGCUCCGUAGUUAGCGCCCUACUACUGAGACCAGAGAUAGCGGUACCCUGAGUCGACUACUUAGGGAUGUAAGAAAAUGAAAGGAAAAAGAUUGCAAUAAUUUGUAAUAAAAGCAUAAUUGUAUUUGAAAAUUAAAUGUAAUAUGUAAUUGUGAUGUAAAAUGUAUCUAAUGAAUGUGAAUGCUUGUAAUAACAAGUAGAUUAUAUUUUUGAUACUUCCUUAUGCAAUUUUUGAUUGAAAUGUGUUCCUGGUUGGAACUUCAUACAUUGU
rnacentral:lncRNA from 1 species